UACGGAGGGGGCAAGCGUUGUUCGGAAUUACUGGGCGUAAAGGGCGCGUAGGCGGCCGAGCAUGUCCUUCGUGAAAUCCCACGGCUCAACCGUGGAAUGGCGGAGGAAACUGCCUGGCUUGAGUCCGGGAGAGGAGAGUGGAAUUCCCAGUGUAGCGGUGAAAUGCGUAGAUAUUGGGAGGAACACCGGUGGCGAAGGCGGCUCUCUGGACCGGUACUGACGCUGAGGCGCGAAAGCUAGGGGAGCAAACGGG
rnacentral:misc_RNA from 1 species